rnacentral:rRNA from 1 species
AUGAGGAAAACCACAAAAGGAUGCAUUGGUUCGCUUGGUGGAACAUGUGUGUGCAGUGUGCCGACGGAGAAGGGAGGAAUGGGUUUUCGUGAUAUUCCCAGUUUUAACUUGGCCAUGCUAGCCAAGCAGUGCUGGAGGUUGAUUGAGAAUUUUGACUCCUUGUGUGCUAAAGUUCCAAGAGCAAGAUAUUAUUCCAAUGGAGAUAUACUAAAUUGUGACUUGAAGAAGUCGUCUUUUAUCUGGGAGAGCACAUGGGCGGGGAUCCAAACAUUUAAGAAGGGGUGUAUAUGGAGAGUGGGAGACGAUGUCAAGAUAGAUAUUUGA